GAGUUUGAUCNUGGCUCAGGAUGAACGCUGGCGGCGUGCNUAAUACAUGCAAGUCGAGCGGUAAGGCUUUCACAGAUUAUUUGAACGGAACAGUCCAAUGCAUUUGGAUACUUUCUUUCAACGAACACUCCCGGCUAGGAGAAGUUCGGUCGAAUAAUGCGUGAAAGUACACGAGCGGCGGACGGCUGAGUAACGCGUAGGAACGUACCCCAAAGUGAGGAAUAAGCACCGGAAACGGUGUCUAAUGCCGCAUGUGGUCUACGGACUAAAGGAUUUAUCCGCUUUGGGAGCGGCCUGCGUAUGAUUAGCUUGUUGGUGAGGUAACGGCUCACCAAGGCGACGAUCAUUAGCUGGUCUGAGAGGAUGAUCAGCCAGACUGGGACUGAGACACGGCCCAGACUCCUACGGGAGGCAGCAGUAGGGAAUUUUCCACAAUGGACGAAAGUCUGAUGGAGCAACGCCGCGUGCAGGAUGAAUGCCUUCGGGUUGUAAACUGCUUUUAUGGGUGAAGAUUUAAGAUGGUAACCCAAGAAUAAGGGACGGCUAACUACGUGCCAGCAGCCGCGGUCAUACGUAGGUCCCAAGCGUUAUCCGGAAUUACUGGGCGUAAAGAGUUGUGUAGGUGGUUUAUUAAGCAAGGUGUGAAAUCGUGCGGCUCAACCGUAUAACCAUACUUUGAACUGGUAGACUAGAGCGUGAGAGAGGUUACUAGAAUUUCUAGUGUAGGAGUGAAAUCCGUAGAUAUUAGAAGGAAUACCGAUGGCGUAGGCAGGUAACUGGCUCAUUGCUGACACUCAGACACGAAAGCGUGGGUAGCAAACGGGAUUAGAUACCCUGGUAGUC
rnacentral:rRNA from 1 species